rnacentral:rRNA from 1 species
AUUGAACGCUGGCGGGAUGCUUUACACAUGCAAGUCGAACGGCAGCACGGACUUCGGUCUGGUGGCGAGUGGCGAACGGGUGAGUAAUGUAUCGGAACGUGCCCAGUCGUGGGGGAUAACGUAGUGAAAAUUACGCUAAUACCGCAUACGAUCUAUGGAUGAAAGCGGGGGAUCGCAAGACCUCGCGCGAUUGGAGCGGCCGAUAUCAGAUUAGGUAGUUGGUGGGGUAAAGGCCUACCAAGUCAACGAUCUGUAGCUGGUCUGAAAGGACGACCAGCCACACUGGAACUGAGACACGGUCCAGACUCCUACGGGAGGCAGCAGUGGGGAAUUUUGGACAAUAGGCGAAAGCCUGAUCCAGCCAUUCCGCGUGCAGGAUGAAGGCCCUCGGGUUGUAAACUGCUUUUGUACAGAACGAAAAGGUUUCUACUAAUACUAGGAGCUCAUGACGGUACUGUAAGAAUAAGCACCGGCUAACUACGUGCCAGCCGCCGCCGUAA